UGGGGAAUAUUGCACAAUGGGCGAAAGCCUGAUGCAGCAACGCCGCGUGAGCGAUGAAGGCCUUCGGGUCGUAAAGCUCUGUCCUCAAGGAAGAUAAUGACGGUACUUGAGGAGGAAGCCCCGGCUAACUACGUGCCAGCAGCCGCGGUAAUACGGAGGGGGCUAGCGUUAUCCGGAAUUACUGGGCGAAAAGGGUGCGGAGGUGGUUUCUUAAGUCAGAGGUGAAAGGCGACGGCUCAACCGUAGUAAGCCUUUGAAACUGGGAAACUUGAGGGCAGGAGAGGAGAGUGGAAUUCCUAGUGUAGCGGUGAAAUGCGUAGAUAUUAGGAGGAACACCAGUUGCGAAGGCGGCUCUCUGGACUGUAACUGACACUGAGGCACGAAAGCGUGGGGAGCAAACA
rnacentral:rRNA from 1 species